AUUGAACGCUGGCGGCAGGCCUAACACAUGCAAGUCGAACGGUAACAGGAAGAAGCUUGCUUCUUUGCUGACGAGUGGCGGACGGGUGAGUAAUGUCUGGGAAACUGCCUGAUGGAGGGGGAUAACUACUGGAAACGGUAGCUAAUACCGCAUAACGUCGCAAGACCAAAGAGGGGGACCUUCGGGCCUCUUGCCAUCGGAUGUGCCCAGAUGGGAUUAGCUAGUAGGUGGGGUAACGGCUCACCUAGGCGACGAUCCCUAGCUGGUCUGAGAGGAUGACCAGCCACACUGGAACUGAGACACGGUCCAGACUCCUACGGGAGGCAGCAGUGGGGAAUAUGGCACAAUGGGCGCAAGCCUGAUGCAGCCAUGCCGCGUGUAUGAAGAAGGCCUUCGGGUUGUAAAGUACUUUCAGCGGGGAGGAAGGGAGUAAAGUUAAUACCUUUGCUCAUUGACGUUACCCGCAGAAGAAGCACCGGCUAACUCCGU
rnacentral:rRNA from 1 species